rnacentral:other from 1 species
CGCUCUCUGCGGUGUUCGAGUAGUGGGCCGGGUAACCCCUUGAUCCUAGUUAAUUUUACCCAGGGAGCACGGUCGCCGGCGUAGGUGUGCAUGUCCGCCUCGUUGCGGAAAGCCUGAUACGCCGCUCUGUUCCCCCACUUGAGCCGCGCGGUUCAAGGGCAAAGGUCCGAGACGGCACAGGCGGAGAGCGC